rnacentral:misc_RNA from 1 species
GAUGAAGAACGUAGCGAAAUGCGAUACUUGGUGUGAAUUGCAGAAUCCCGUGAACCAUCGAGUCUUUGAACGCAAGUUGCGCCCGAAGCCAUCAGGUUGAGGGCACGUCUGCCUGGGCGUCACAUAUCGUUGCCCAAUGCCUAUUGCAGUGCAAUAGGAAUUUCUAGGGCGAAUGAUGGCUUCCCGUGAGCGUUGUUGCCUCGCGGUUGGUUGAAAAUCGAGUCCUUGGUAGGGUGUGCCAUGGUAGAUGGUGGUCGAGUUAGAACGAUACCGAUCAUGUGCAUGCUCCCCAAAAUAUGGCCUCUAUGACCCGCACGCGUCUUUUGACGCUCAUGACGAGACCUCAGGUCAGGCGGGGCUACCCGCUGAAUUUAAGCAUAUCAAUAAGCGGAGGA